CGGCAGUCAGCUGGGCAGGAGGGCGGCCAGUCCCGGCCAGGAGCUGGUGCUGCGGCUGGGCCCUGUGCAAGAGAGGCGGGCCGACCUCGGCGGCAUCCGGUCUGCACUCCUUCCGUGGCCUGCGGCUCUUCUCAGAAAAACACCCACAGGCACCAGCACCAUGGGCUGCACACAAUUUUACACUCCCUCCCAACAAGCCCGUCUGCGGGCCCCUGGGGGUUAAGACGCUUCAUUUUACAGGAUGGAGAAACGAGGCUGAGACAGACUUGUCCAAGUCCCCCCAGUGUGUCAGGCGCUGGGCAAGGACUAAAGGCCAGAUGUCUGCGUGCACACAGUCAGCACUUGUCGAGCGCUUACUACCAACCAGGCACUGCGCAAGGGACAGAUGAAGGGGAUUUAAAGUGGCUCAGGCUUCGCCCCAGGGUUUGGACUGGAAAUCUGACCUGCUUAACCCUCUGCCGUCACUGUUUGCUGGCCCUCUCCGUUCAUCCUUAGACUCAUGGAACCGCAGAUGUCAGAGCAGGUGAGGAGCUCAGCCCAGCCAGGCUGCUGACAAGUGACAAGUCCAGAGAGGGAAGGGACCAGCCCAAAGGGCCCUGCCUGCUGGCUGUCGCUGGGAUUCUGAGGGCCACCCAGCAACUCCAGGCCAAGGACUCCAGAGGUUCAAAGUUAAAUUUAACACUUAAAAAGGCAGUAGGGAGAAUCUCAAGACCAGAAAAAAAUCUGCAAGCUGACGCUGCAAGACUCGUCAAGAAGCCAAAUGUCACAAGCACCUCCAUGGCUGGGAAAGCUAACUGCUUUCUUUAACACUCCCCAUGCUUUCUCAUUCUCCUGUAUUUCUCUUCUGUCUGGGGUCUUCAGGGGACCAUCCAUUUCCUUGCCACUUUCAGCAUCUGGAGGCCACCUGUAUUCCUUGGCUCAUCUCCCCUUCAAGGCAUCACUCCAACCUCUUGUGUCCAUCGUCACGUCUCCUGCUAUUGACUGAUCCUCCUGCCUCCCUCUUAGAAGGACCCUUGUGAUUACACUGGGACCAUCUGGAGGAUUCAGGAUAAUCUCUCUAUCUCAAGAUCUUUAAUUUAAUCACACCCGCAAAGUCUCUGUUACCAUGUAAGGUAACGUGUUCACAGGUUCUAGGAGCUCUGAUCUGGACCUCUUUGGGGGGCCGUUAUUCAGCCUACCACACUGGGUAAUGGGUACAUGGGGUUUGUUCUCUUUUUUUUAAAUAUGUUUGAAUAAAAAUUAUGAAAGAAAACACUCCUUUGACCCCAAGACUCUAGUUACCAUCAGAUUUUGGAAUUUACACUCCCUUACACAGUGAAACUUCUUGAAUUUUUUUCUGUAGUUCUUGUCUUCACUUCCUCACAUCCUGUUCUCCUUAAUCUAUUCCAGUUGGGUUUUUGACAUUUACCUAUCCCCACAACCCAACCGAGACCACAAUCUCCAACUUGCUAAAUUAUCUGUCCUCAUCCAACAUGACCUCUCAGAAACAUUAACACAAUUCACCACCCCCCCC
rnacentral:lncRNA from 1 species